UUAAACAUACCGCUCGGAUUUCAGUGCUACUUGUAUAACCUAGCGUUGCAAGUUUCCUUCCCUCUGCCGCUGUUACCUCCAACCUUGCAGCCAUUUGUCCUUGCUCUGCAAGAAAUAGCUCACCCCCUGCCUUCUCUCCCGGGUCCGGCCUCAGACUCAGCAUCAGGUUGAACCAUAUGGAAUUGCCACUUUGUAGGUCAUAAAUGGUUAAUCUCAGCAAUUUCACGUGGUUCAACCUAAUGCUAACCUCCAACUCCUCAAAUGAUGUUGAGCGCCCCGAGUUGUAUUCUUAAGUCUCACUCCAAAUGGGAUGUGCCCCCUGCUCUCCUCGCCUCCCCCAAUCCAUCUAAAUCGGAUUAUUCUGUAGCAUAGCAUCUUGUCCUUCCCUCCACAGCACUUAUCACAAGUUGUAAUUACGUAUGUGUUUAUUAUUUAAUGUCUGAUACUCUAACUAGACUUUUAUACACUCCAUGAGCACCACACAUCAUUGUAUCCCAGCCCCUGGCAGGAGGCCUGGCAUAUCACAGGCACUCAAUAAAUGUCCGUUGAAUUAAUGGA